rnacentral:tRNA from 1 species
GCGCCCGUGGCUCAGUUGGAUAGAGUAUCUGACUACGAAUCAGGGGGUCACAGGUUCGAAUCCUGUCGGGCGCGCCA